GCGAUAAUAAUUUUAGUCGAUUUUUGUUUUUUGUUUUUUUCUCCCCUGUUUGUUUACACUUCACUGCGCGAGAAGUAAAACGACGUUGUACGCGUGAAUAAAAAUAAAAAUCGACCGUCGAAUCGCGGUAUGUCUAAUGUUCCGUUUCGCCGUUGGUCGAUGCAUGCCAUAAAACGUCGGCCGUUUCGUUUCGAUUUUUUUUUUUUUGCUCUGUUAUUGUUACAUCCCGUCCGACGGCUGUCGAUCCGAACGCCGAAAACCACGCGCG